CCCAGGUGUAGGAAUGCCAGAGUGAUGUAAGGGUAGAGUAUAGUGUGCCUUUAGGUGUGGCUGCGUACAUGUCACGGUGCUCCUACCUGGAUAUCCUGGAACCCCAGGCACUGUAUUCCAUAGCAG